rnacentral:rRNA from 1 species
AUUGAACGCUGGCGGCAUGCUUUACACAUGCAAGUCGAACGGCAGCGCGGGCUUCGGCCUGGCGGCGAGUGGCGAACGGGUGAGUAAUACAUCGGAACGUGCCCAGUAGUGGGGGAUAGCUCGGCGAAAGCCGGAUUAAUACCGCAUACGACCUGAGGGUGAAAGCGGGGGAUCUUCGGACCUCGCGCUAUUGGAGCGGCCGAUGGCAGAUUAGCUAGUUGGUGGGGUAAAGGCCUACCAAGGCGACGAUCUGUAGCUGGUCUGAGAGGACGACCAACCACACUGGGACUGAGACACGGCCCAGACUCCUACGGGAGGCAGCAGUGGGGAAUUUUGGACAAUGGGCGAAAGCCUGAUCCAGCAAUGCCGCGUGUGUGAUGAAGGCCUUCGGGUUGUAAAGCACUUUUGGCGGGAACGAAAAGGACUGUGCCAAUACCACGGUUCGAUGACGGUACCCGCAGAAUAAGCACCGGCUAACUACGUG